rnacentral:rRNA from 1 species
CUGGACCAAAAGACUGACGCUCAAGGUGCGAAAAGCGUGGGGAGCAAACACGGAUUAGAUACCCUUGGUAGUCCACGCCGUAAACGAUGUCGACUUGGAGGUUGUGCCCUUGAGGCGUGGCUUCCGGAGCUAACGCGUUAAGUCGACCGCCUGGGGAGUACGGCCGCAAGGUUUAAAACUCAAAUGAAUUGACGGGGGGCCCGCACAAGCGGUGGAGCAUGUGGUUUAAUUCGAUGCAACGCGAAGAACCUUACCUACUCUUGACAUCCAGAGAACUUUCCAGAGAUGGAUUGGUGCCUUCGGGAACUCUGAGACAGGUGCUGCAUGGCUGUCGUCAGCUCGUGUUGUGAAAUGUUGGGUUAAGUCCCGCAACGAGCGCAACCCUUAUCCUUUGUUGCCAGCGGUUCGGCCGGGAACUCAAAGGAGACUGCCAGUGAUAAACUGGAGGAAGGUGGGGAUGACGUCAAGUCAUCAUGGCCCUUACGAGUAGGGCUACACACGUGCUACAAUGGCGCAUACAAAGAGAAGCGACCUCGCGAGAGCAAGCGGACCUCAUAAAAUGCGUCGUAGUCCGGAUUGGAGUCUGCAACUCGACUCCAUGAAGUCGGAAUCGCUAGUAAUCGUAGAUCAGAAUGCUACGGUGAAUACGUUCCC